rnacentral:lncRNA from 1 species
AUGUACGGUCACAUUGGAUUUGAAAACGACAUCCUUUCUUCCAUAGAUCCACGCUACCUGAAAGAAGGCCGCCUUCUGAAUCCAACGAUACCAGUUAUGUGCACAUCGGACCUACGCUUCAAAAGAUACGGACAGGUAUUGCUGGAAUGUCCCUUUAAUUUCUGCAGGAGUCCAGUCCUCCUCCCAGAGGCCCCUGGAAACCCCUUCGUUGAGGACCGUCGUCGCGUUCGUCUCCAGGUUUCUCCGAUCUGACAGAAAUAUCAGGAGCACGUCCAUCAUAUAGUUGAAGAAGGCCUGCUGCCUUUCAGUCAGCCUCUCCCGUGCAUCUGAUCUCUCUGGCCAGAAUGGCUCCAGGAUCUCGUCCAGCUCUUCGGACCGUCUCUGCUUCCGUUCAGGAGCACACUCGGCCGAGGAAGCUGGUCUCUUCUGGCCUCCUGAGUGUGCAGGAGCACCGCUGCCCUUUCCUUCCAGCUGCUUUCUCAGCUCCUCUAUCUCUUGGCCUUGCUCUGCUACGUGUGAUAUAUAUAUAUAUAUAUUAUUAUUUUUUUUUUUUAAGGCGCUGAGCUCGGUCUUGUCAUUGCAGCCAUGUCACUGAUCAUCGUUGUGCUAUUUACUGUUUCCUGGAGGUCUCUGUGUGUUUCCAUCACAUCAGAGAGAUGCUCGAUAACAAAUCUCUCGAUAGAAUUGACUCGACCGACUAACACUUCCUCAAAAGACAGGUCCAGGCCAUCUCCUUCUGAGCUGCUCAUCUUUUUAUUGUCCUGACGGAACUUUUUGCCUUGGUCUGCUACUCGAGACUUUGUUACUGGGGGGAAAAAAUUAUUAUAUUUCAAAGAACUUUCCCAGAGUUUAAUCACAAACACAAUGUAUGUAACUCACACUGAUCUAUGCUUGGACUGAAUUCUCGCGGGGUUCCAUAAAUUGGCUCAGCAGCUUCUGUUUUUGCUGUUAAAAGGUGAAGGAUAACCAUGAUAAAUUAUUUAAUUCAAGGUGACGACACCAUUUGAAGUGUGUCUUGCUUUCCAUAUAUUAACUUCAUAAAAAAAAAAAAACAACUUUAACACAAUAUGGGGGAACAUGUGUGUGCAUC